rnacentral:rRNA from 1 species
UAGGGAAUCUUCGGCAAUGGACGAAAGUCUGACCGAGCAACGCCGCGUGAGUGAAGAAGGUCUUCGGAUCGUAAAACUCUGUUGUUAGAGAAGAACAAGGACGUUAGUAACUGAACGUCCCCUGACGGUAUCUAACCAGAAAGCCACGGCUAACUACGUGCCAGCAGCCGCGGUAAUACGUAGGUGGCAAGCGUUGUCCGGAUUUAUUGGGCGUAAAGCGAGCGCAGGCGGUUUCUUAAGUCUGAUGUGAAAGCCCCCGGCUCAACCGGGGAGGGUCAUUGGAAACUGGGAGACUUGGGUGCAGAAGAGGGGAGUGGAAUUCCAUGUGUAGCGGUGAAAUGCGUAGAUAUAUGGAGGAACACCAGUGGCGAAGGCGGCUCUCUGGUCUGUAACUGACGCUGAGGCUCGAAAGCGUGGGGAGCAAACAGG